AUUGAACGCUGGCGGCAGGCCUAACACAUGCAAGUCGAACGAGUGGCGGACGUGUGAGUAAUGUCUGAGAAACUGCCUGAUGGAGGGGGAUAACUACUGGAAACGGUAGCUAAUACCUCAUACCAUCAGAUGUGCCCAGAUGGGAUUAGCUAGUUGGUGGGGUAACGGCUCACCAAGGCGGCGAUCCCUAGCUGGUCUGAGAGGAUGACAAGCCACACUGGAACUGAGACGCGGUCCAGAGGACUACGGGAGGCAGCAGUGGGGAAUAGUGCACAAGGGGCGAAAGCCUGGUGCAGCCAUGCCGCGUGUAUGAAGAAGGCCUUCGGGUUGUAAAGUACUUUCAGCGGGGAGGCGUUACCCGCAGAAGAAGCACCGGCUAACUCCGUGCCAGCCGCCGCGGUAAUUC
rnacentral:rRNA from 1 species